rnacentral:rRNA from 1 species
UACAGAGGUCUCAAGCGUUUGUUCGGAUUCAUUGGGCGUAAAGGGUGCGUAGGUGGCGUCGUAAGUCGGGUGUGAAAUUUCGGAGCUUAACUCCGAAACUGCAUUCGAUACUGCGGUGCUUGAGGACUGGAGAGGAGACUGGAAUUUACGGUGUAGCAGUGAAAUGCGUAGAGAUCGUAAGGAAGACCAGUGGCGAAGGCGGGUCUCUGGACAGUUCCUGACACUGAGGCACGGAAGGCCAGGGGAGCAAACGGG